rnacentral:tRNA from 1 species
GCGAAGUAGCGGUUACGCAGCGUAGGGAGCAUCUGACGGUUUCGGACUACGGAUCAGAAGGUUAGGGGUUCGAGUCCCUUCGGGCGCA